UAACUUAGUGUAGCCGCUCUCAUCCGACUCAUCUGCUGUAUGUACUCUGCGUUGUGUGUAAUUGGCAAAGGGAACCAGGAGACGAGGACACCGGUGUAGGGUUACCCAGCAAUACA